rnacentral:rRNA from 1 species
AGAGUUUGAUCCUGGCUCAGAUUGAACGCUGGCGGCAUGCCUUACACAUGCAAGUCGAACGGCAGCACGGAGCUUGCUCUGGUGGCGAGUGGCGAACGGGUGAGUAAUAUAUCGGAACGUACCCUAGAGUGGGGGAUAACGUAGCGAAAGUUACGCUAAUACCGCAUACGAUCUAAGGAUGAAAGUGGGGGAUCGCAAGACCUCAUGCUCGUGGAGCGGCCGAUAUCUGAUUAGCUAGUUGGUAGGGUAAAAGCCUACCAAGGCAUCGAUCAGUAGCUGGUCUGAGAGGACGACCAGCCACACUGGAACUGAGACACGGUCCAGACUCCUACGGGAGGCAGCAGUGGGGAAUUUUGGACAAUGGGCGAAAGCCUGAUCCAGCAAUGCCGCGUGAGUGAAGAAGGCCUUCGGGUUGUAAAGCUCUUUUGUCAGGGAAGAAACGGUGAAAGCUAAUAUCUUUUGCUAAUGACGGUACCUGAAGAAUAAGCACCGGCUAACUACGUGCCAGCAGCCGCGGUAAUACGUAGGGUGCAAGCGUUAAUCGGAAUUACUGGGCGUAAAGCGUGCGCAGGCGGUUUUGUAAGUCUGAUGUGGAAUCCCCGGGCUCAACCUGGGAAUUGCAUUGGAGACUGCAAGGCUAGAAUCUGGCAGAGGGGGGUAGAAUUCCACGUGUAGCAGUGAAAUGCGUAGAUAUGUGGAGGAACACCGAUGGCGAAGGCAGCCCCCUGGGUCAAGAUUGACGCUCAUGCACGAAAGCGUGGGGAGCAAACAGGAUUAGAUACCCUGGUAGUCCACGCCCUAAACGAUGUCUACUAGUUGUCGGGUCUUAAUUGACUUGGUAACGCAGCUAACGCGUGAAGUAGACCGCCUGGGGAGUACGGUCGCAAGAUUAAAACUCAAAGGAAUUGACGGGGACCCGCACAAGCGGUGGAUGAUGUGGAUUAAUUCGAUGCAACGCGAAAAACCUUACCUACCCUUGACAUGGCUGGAAUCCUUGAGAGAUCAGGGAGUGCUCGAAAGGGAACCAGUACACAGGUGCUGCAUGGCUGUCGUCAGCUCGUGUCGUGAGAUGUUGGGUUAAGUCCCGCAACGAGCGCAACCC